rnacentral:sRNA from 12 species
GUACCCGUAGCUUUCUCGCAUUCAGUUGCAAGGGGGAGGGGAAUGGGUCCCCUCCGGUUGCGUGUACAGAAGG